rnacentral:rRNA from 1 species
ACGGCUCAGUAACACGUAGCUAACCUGCCCUCAAGCCAAGAAUAUCCUCGGGAAACUGAGGUUAAUACUUGAUAGAUGAUAUGUUCUGGAAUGACGAAUCAUCGAAAUCUCGCGUGAGGAUGGGGCUGCGGCUGAUUAGGUAGUUGGCGGGGUAAUAGCCCACCAAGCCGAUGAUCAGUAAGGGCUCUUAGCGGAGAGGCCCUGAGAGGGAGUCUGAGACACUACUCCCAGCCCUACGGGGCGCAGCAGUCGGGAAACUUUUGCAAUAUGCGCAAGCGUGACAAAGCAAGCCAGAGUGCUGUUCUUUUUUUGAACAGCUUUUGUGGGAUGUAAAAAGUCCCACGAAUAAGGACUGGGCAAGACUGGUGCCAGCCGCCGCGGUAAUCCCAGCAGUCCAAGUCGCAGCCACAAUUGUUGGGUCUAAAAUAUCCGUAGCUUGCCUUUCAAGUCUCGUGUGAAAUCGGGCCUCUUAAGGGUCCGGCGUGCACGAGAUACUGUAAGGCUUGAGACCGGGAGAUGUACCGAGUACGCAGAGGGAAGCGGUAAAAUGUGUUGAUCCUCUGUGGACUAACAAUAGCGAAGGCACGGUACAAGAACGGAUCUGACAGUGAGGGAUGAAGGCGAGGGGCGCAAAGUGGAUUAGAUACCCAUGUAGUCCUCGCAGUAAACACUGCACACUAAACAUUAGGGCCUCCUCGAGAGGUUCUAGUGCUGUAGGGAAGCCGGAGAGUGUGCUACCUGGGAAGUAUAGUCGCAAGACCGAAACUUAAAGGAAUUGGCGGGGGAGCACA